rnacentral:rRNA from 1 species
UACGUAGGGUGCAAGCGUUAUCCGGAAUUAUUGGGCGUAAAGAGCUCGUAGGCGGUUUGUCACGUCUGCUGUGAAAACUGAAGGCUCAACCUCCAGCCUGCAGUGGGUACGGGCAGACUAGAGUGCGGUAGGGGAGAUUGGAAUUCCUGGUGUAGCGGUGGAAUGCGCAGAUAUCAGGAGGAACACCGAUGGCGAAGGCAGAUCUCUGGGCCGUAACUGACGCUGAGGAGCGAAAGCAUGGGGAGCGAACAGG